AUGAAGUGAAGAGGAAAGGAAAGAACACAAACCCUAGGUGGGAAAAUUGAAGAAAAAGCGUGAGAUUUCAAGGGAUUAAGCUAAUAAAGGUAAAAUUUUGUGAUUUUAUCUUGUGAUUUACACUACCCAUGCUUUCUUUUUCAUUUUUCAUGCUUAGAACUCAAGUUUGCAUGAUGAACCCAUGCUGGCCGAAUUUGAGAGGAGAGGUUUUGAGCAUUGAUUUUGCUAGAUUUCAAGCUAAUUAAGUGUUUUUGGUUGUUUGGUAAUGGAAAGUAUGAAAAUCUAGCAAGGAAUCACUUUGUUCUUCACAAACCCACAAGAGGCCGAAUUUUCUAGGGAGGAUAUUGAGGCUGAAAUUGAUGAUAUUUCAUGAUAUUUUGGUGGUAUUUAAUGAUUGGUGAGGCUAGAAAUUUAAUGGGAAAUUUUGGCAUGAAAAUCUGAAUUUUUACCUAAUGUAUAGACAUGUGCGAUUUAUGGUUCAGACUGAUAAAUUGAAUCAUAUUCACAGUCAUUGAGGUAUUUUAAGUAUAAUUGGAGUGUAGAAAGUGAAAGAAAUCGAUUUGGAGUUAAAUUGGAGGUUUUAGCCAAUUACACCUCGAAUAGUGCGAAUUAGGUCAAUACCGUAUUUAAACGGCUAUUUAAACAUUUUGCAGCACAUUUCGUGCAUACAUAUAGAUUUAUAGAGCCUGAAAUAGUUUAUGAUAAAUUGACAUAAUUUAUUAAAAUUAGUGUCAUGUAUGAUGUAUAGGUGGUGAGCCCUCUAACAAGGGUAAAGAGAUUGUGUCUAAAGACCGGGAAUAGGAGUAUAUCGAACUCCUAGUACUGUGAGUAACCUUACUAUCGUCGUAAUUAUCUAGAGUGAUUUUUAUCCGAUUUUGUGAUUUUAUGAAAAAUGAGUUUAAAUGGUAAAUUUUUAGGUUUUAUAAACAAAAUGUGUUUAAAUACAAAUGAUUUCAUAAAUGGUCUUGAAAUUGAAUGAAGGCUUUGAAAAUAAAGUAAUUGGAGACCAUUUGAUGUAUUGUGAAUUUAUGGUUCUAAUUGAUUGGCUUAUGACAAUGUUGGCCUGAAUGGCUGAAUUGGUAUUUGUGUUGAAAUGUAUAAACUGUUGUUUGCCUUGAUAAGCUGGAUAAUGAUAAAAUUCCCAUAUCAUGCUGUUGAAUUUUUAUUGUAUGAUGGGUUUAGCUUGCUGCAGUGGACUGGUUCUGUGGACCAACCUAUUAGAGGGGCACGGAACCUGGUCAUAUAUAUGUACCUCGAUUGGAAAGGUGCGUUGGGUAACUCCCGAGGUCAAACUUUAGAGUUCAUUUCACGCCCAACCACCACGUGAGGGGAACUCUGCCAACGCCAAGGAACGACUAUGUUUUCAAAAUAAAAACAUGAUUUAUACGUACAUAACUUUUUAACAGCCUUGGCGAAUUCGGUUGGGAUAGCCCUCGAUCAAGGCAUCCUUGAUAACUGGGUAUGAGAAUGAUUUUGGCACGAGCCAAAGUUUUAAGAAAUUCAUAAGCCAUGUUAAUUACUCGAUUUAUAUGAAUUGAUUUUAUUUGGUUGAAACAAGUUGAAAGGUGAUGAAUUUCAGUAUGUUAAACUGUUUUAUCUGUCUCCAUUUACUCGACUUUAGAUGGUUUAGAUGGUAUCUAUUUACUCACUGAGAUUUUAUAAUCUCACCACCCUCAUUUUCAACCAUUUCAAGCUCGAGGUAGUCUGUGGAUAGCAGAUAUCGUCAAGGAUUAUAGUCGGCUUUACUACUCCAAAAACUGUAAGUUUACAGUCUUUGUGCACUUUUGUUCCUUGUGGGCCCACGAGUCACUGGAAAGUAAAUUUCAUAUCCCGAUUAUCGGUAUUAUAGUACGUAUGAAUUUAUUUAGCUUUUACAUUACAAAAAUUAUUUACCGAUGACUCUAUAAAUAUUAUUUUACAAGAAAUUAGAAUAUUUUAUUGAAUAUUUUUAUUUUAUUCAAAUAGUUGCAAUAUCAUUUUUAAUAAAUGUUUUAGACACCCAAAUUUAUUUUAAAUCAUAAAAUAUGUGUUUUUCACUCAUCUACUACAUUUUUUG
rnacentral:lncRNA from 1 species